UGAACCUGCGGAAGGAUCAUUAAAAGAGAGCGGCCGCCCCUC
rnacentral:rRNA from 3 species